rnacentral:rRNA from 1 species
GCAACUCGCCUGCACGAAGUCGGAAUUGCUAGUAAUCGUAGGUCAGCAUACUACGGUGAAUACGUUCCCGGGCCUUGUACACACCGCCCGUCAAACCAUGAGAGUUGGCAACACCCGAAGUCGGUAGUCUAACCGCAAGGAGGACGCCGCCGAAGGUGGGGUUGAUGAUUAGGGUUAAGUCGUAACAAGGUAUC